GAUGAACGCUGGCGGCGUGCCUAAUACAUGCAAGUAGAGCGCUGAAGCUUGGUGCUUGCACCGAGCGGAGGAGUUGCGAACGGGUGAGUAACGCGUAGGUAACCUGCCUCUUAGCGGGGGAUAACUAUUGGAAACGAUAGCUAAUACCGCAUAAAAGUCGACAUUGCAUGAUGUUGACUUGAAAGGUGCAACUGCAUCACUAAGAGAUGGACCUGCGUUGUAUUAGCUAGUUGGUGAGGUAACGGCUCACCAAGGCGACGAUACAUAGCCGACCUGAGAGGGUGAUCGGCCACACUGGGACUGAGACACGGCCCAGACUCCUAUGGGAGGCAGCAGUAGGGAAUCUUCGGCAAUGGACGGAAGUCUGACCGAGCAACGCCGCGUGAGUGAAGAAGGUUUUCGGAUCGUAAAGCUCUGUUGUAAGAGAAGAACGAGUGUGAGAGUGGAAAGUUCACACUGUGACGGUAACUUACCAGAAAGG
rnacentral:rRNA from 1 species